UACGUAGGUGGCGAGCGUUGUCCGGAAUUAUUGGGCGUAAAGGGCGCGUAGGCGGCUUUGCAAGUGACGGGUGAAAUCCCUCGGCUUAACCGAGGAACUGCCUGUCAAACUGCAUGGCUUGAGACCGGGAGAGGUGAGUGGAAUUCCCAGUGUAGCGGUGAAAUGCGUAGAUAUUUGGGAGGAACACCAGUGGCGAAGGCGGCUCACUGGACCGGUACUGACGCUGAUGCGCGAAAGCGUGGGGAGCAAACAGG
rnacentral:rRNA from 1 species